ACGGGAGCAGCAGUGGGGAAUAUUGCACAAUGGGGGAAACCCUGAUGCAGCGACGCCGCGUGAGUGAAGAAGUAUUUCGGUAUGUAAAGCUCUAUCAGCAAGGAAGAAAAUGACGGUACUUGACUAAGAAGCCCCGGCUAACUACGUGCCAGCAGCCGCGGUAAUACGUAGGGGGCAAGCGUUAUCCGGAUUUACUGGGUGUAAAGGGAGCGUAGACGGCAUGGUAAGUCUGAAGUGAAAUCCCGGGGCUCAACCCCGGAAUUGCUUUGGAAACUAUCAAGCUAGAGUGCAGGAGAGGUAAGUGGAAUUCCUAGUGUAGCGGUGAAAUGCGUAGAUAUUAGGAGGAACACCAGUGGCGAAGGCGGCUUACUGGACUGUAACUGACGUUGAGGCUCGAAAGCGUGGGGAGCAAACAGGAUUAGAUACCCUGGUA
rnacentral:rRNA from 1 species